CCUAUCCUCAGCCAUAACCUCCUAUUUCUUGCUUAGAGGUUGUUUUGGUGCCUUUUUCCUUCCUAUCCUCAGCCAUAACCUCCUAUUUCUUGCUUAGAGGUUGUUUUGGUGCCUUUUUCCUUCCUAUCCUCAGCCAUAACCUCCUAUUUCUUGCUUAGAGGUUGUUUUGGUGCCUUUUUCCUUCCUAUCCUCAGCCAUAACCUCCUAUUUCUUGCUUAGAGGUUGUUUUGGUGCCUUUUUCCUUCCUAUCCUCAGCCAUAACCUCCUAUUUCUUGCUUAGAGGUUGUUUUGGUGCCUUUUUCCUUCCUAUCCUCAGCCAUAACCUCCUAUUUCUUGCUUAGAGGUUGUUUUGGUGCCUUUUUCCUUCCUAUCCUCAGCCAUAACCUCCUAUUUCUUGCUUAGAGGUUGUUUUGGUGCCUUUUUCCUUCCUAUCCUCAGCCAUAACCUCCUAUUUCUUGCUUAGAGGCGGUACGGCAUUAGCAUAUUUCACGUGUACAUGCAAAAGCUUCUGUGCAUUUUGUACUACAUGAUCAUGUCUAAGUUCUGGUUUCUUCUAUGUAAAAUUGUUGAAACGCCCUCGCUUUGGAAGAAAAAGAAGUCUUUCAAUUGGGUUUCAGAACUCAUCUCUGUGAAGCUUUUUGAAAUCAGUUUGGCCAUUUCGUAUCCGGACAGAACAAAGGAUUCUCAUUUCCUUUGGAAAAACUUGGGCAUUAGGAUUCUAAUUUCCUUGGGAAAAACUUGCGAUGCCCAAAAGCGAUUCAACAUUUGCUUUCCUGCAGUCUAAAAUGUUUCCCUGACUAGUCCCUGCAUACGCUUGUAAUUGUACAGAAAUUUAACGUUUCAAAUUAGAUAUGCAGGCGCCGGUAUUAUAAUUUGUAUUGACAAGUAAAUUAAAAUUUCAUGCCUUAUUGCUUGCGAGA